rnacentral:rRNA from 2 species
GACGAACGCUGGCGGCGUGCCUAAUACAUGCAAGUCGAACGAACUCUGGUAUUGAUUGGUGCUUGCAUCAUGAUUUACAUUUGAGUGAGUGGCGAACCGGUGAGUAACACGUGGGAAACCUGCCCAGAAGCGGGGGAUAACACCUGGAAACAGAUGCUAAUACCGCAUAACAACUUGGACCGCAUGGUCCGAGCUUGAGAGAUGGCUUCGGCUAUCACUUUUGGAUGGUCCCGCGGCGUAUUAGCUAGAUGGUGGGGUAACGGCUCACCAUGGCAAUGAUACGUAGCCGACCUGAGAGGGUAAUCGGCCACAUUGGGACUGAGACACGGCCCAAACUCCUACGGGAGGCAGCAGUAGGGAAUCUUCCACAAUGGACGAAAGUCUGAUGGAGCAACGCCGCGUGAGUGAAGAAGGGUUUCGGCUCGUAAAACUCUGUUGUUAAAGAAGAACAUAUCUGAGAGUAACUGUUCAGGUAUUGACGGUAUUUAACCAGAAAGCCACGGCUAACUACGUGCCAGCAGCCGCGGUAAUACGUAGGUGGCAAGCGUUGUCCGGAUUUAUUGGGCGUAAAGCGAGCGCAGGCGGUUUUUUAAGUCUGAUGUGAAAGCCUUCGGCUCAACCGAAGAAGUGCAUCGGAAACUGGGAAACUUGAGUGCAGAAGAGGACAGUGGAACUCCAUGUGUAGCGGUGAAAUGCGUAGAUAUAUGGAAGAACACCAGUGGCGAAGGCGGCUGUCUGGUCUGUAACUGACGCUGAGGCUCGAAAGUAUGGGUAGCAAACAGGAUUAGAUACCCUGGUAGUCCAUACCGUAAACGAUGAAUGCUAAGUGUUGGAGGGUUUCCGCCCUUCAGUGCUGCAGCUAACGCAUUAAGCAUUCCGCCUGGGGAGUACGGCCGCAAGGCUGAAACUCAAAGGAAUUGACGGGGGCCCGCACAAGCGGUGGAGCAUGUGGUUUAAUUCGAAGCUACGCGAAGAACCUUACCAGGUCUUGACAUACUAUGCAAAUCUAAGAGAUUAGACGUUCCCUUCGGGGACAUGGAUACAGGUGGUGCAUGGUUGUCGUCAGCUCGUGUCGUGAGAUGUUGGGUUAAGUCCCGCAACGAGCGCAACCCUUAUUAUCAGUUGCCAGCAUUAAGUUGGGCACUCUGGUGAGACUGCCGGUGACAAACCGGAGGAAGGUGGGGAUGACGUCAAAUCAUCAUGCCCCUUAUGACCUGGGCUACACACGUGCUACAAUGGAUGGUACAACGAGUUGCGAACUCGCGAGAGUAAGCUAAUCUCUUAAAGCCAUUCUCAGUUCGGAUUGUAGGCUGCAACUCGCCUACAUGAAGUCGGAAUCGCUAGUAAUCGCGGAUCAGCAUGCCGCGGUGAAUACGUUCCCGGGCCUUGUACACACCGCCCGUCACACCAUGAGAGUUUGUAACACCCAAAGUCGGUGGGGUAACCUUUUAGGAACCAGCCGCCUAAGGUGGGACAGAUGAUUAGGGUG